rnacentral:rRNA from 1 species
UAAGCGGAGGAAAAGAAACUAACAAGGAUUCCCCUAGUAACGGCGAGUGAAGCGGGAAGAGCUCAAAUUUGAAAUCUGGUAGCCUUCGGUUGCCCGAGUUGUAAUCUAGAGAAGUGUUUUCCGUGCCGGCCCAUGUACAAGUCCCUUGGAACAGGGCGUCAUAGAGGGUGAGAAUCCCGUCCUUGACAUGGACCCCCGGUGCUUUGUGAUACACUUUCAACGAGUCGAGUUGUUUGGGAAUGCAGCUCAAAAUGGGUGGUGAAUUCCAUCUAAAGCUAAAUAUUGGCGAGAGACCGAUAGCGAACAAGUACCGUGAGGGAAAGAUGAAAAGCACUUUGGAAAGAGAGUUAAACAGUACGUGAAAUUGUUGAAAGGGAAACGAUUGAAGUCAGUCAUGCUCUUUGGUUUAAGCCGUUCUGCGGUGUAUAUCAUUGAGUGGGGUCAACAUCAGUUUUGAUCGAUGGAUAAAGGCACUAGGAAGGUAGCACUCUCGGGUGAACUUAUAGCCUGGCGUCAUAUACAUUGAUUGGGACUGAGGAACGCAGCAUGCCUUCGGGCCGGGAUUCGUCCACGUACAUGCUUAGGAUGUUGACAUAAUGGCUUUAAACGACCCGUCUUGAAACACG